UGUGCAGAUGGGACAGUAAGUGGUGUAUGAAAGCCCCAGGCUCAACCUGGGCGGGUUAUGCCAGACUGCUGUUCUCGGGAGCAGGAGAGGGAGGUGGAAUGCCGGGUGUAGUGGUGAAAUGCGUAGAGAUCCGGCAGAACCCCAGAGGCGAAGGCGGCCUCCUGGCCUGACUCCGACAUUCAGACACGACAGCGUGGGGAGCGAACGGGAUUAGAAACCCCGGUAGUCCACGCCGUAAACGAUGCCAACUGGGCGUCGGGGGGCUCAACCCCCUCGGUGCCGAAGGGAACCUGUUAAGUUGGCCGCCUGGGGACUACGACCGCAAGGUUAAA
rnacentral:rRNA from 1 species